UCCACAAAUGUUCAAAAACUGUCGAUGUCAACACUUCAAGCUAUAAUAAUGGCGGGUGUUUCUCAAAUGUCUCAUACGCAAAAUGUCGACAUCAUUGUAUACACUUCCUCUAUCACUCAAAGUUCUUAUAAAAUGCAAAAUAACAUUAAACUAAAAUAAAACUAAUAUGAAAUGGUAAAGGAAAAUGAAAAUAACACGAGUAUUAUAUUCCCAAUGCCGAAAUGGCGGUUUUGGGGUUACUCAUAAAUUUUGCUAAAAUCACAUUUCGCCUUAAGGAUUGAAAUAUUUCUACUUAAUUAGUGAAGUUGGCAUUUUUCUGAUAUCUGAUUUGUUAUUAGUAAAGUAAACUUAUUUCUAAACUACAAUAGAAUCGAGUCCAGCUGUGUUUUGGUUUACCGAAAAAAUAACACUAAAAUCACUGCAAGGAAUAUAACCUUUUUUUAUUAUCACGCCUAGGAUUUUUUGGUGCUUGAUAUAACACUUAAAAUGUAUGAAAAACAUGAUUCAAGUAACAACAUUCCAUAAAGUUUAGUUUACCUAUUCGUAUUUUCAAAUUCAAAAUUUUUAAUGGUAACAAAAUGGAAAACAAAAAUCUUUAUACGACAAAGAAUCUGUGUUUUCUUUAUUUGGUUGGAAAGCGAAAAUUUUUGUUAUUCAGAAAAUGUAAUAUAACGUAGUUUGGGUGAGCUUUUCAUCUCGACAUUGUGAUGUGUUUGUGACCCGUUAAUUGGACACAAACACCUUCCGUUUCAUCGCUUUUCUAAAAUAAACCACCCGUUAGGGAUAUUAUAUUUUUAUUAUUAGUUACACUAUUUAUCGCGUCUAAAAGUGUAGUGUAUACCAGUCUGGGAGCCGUUUUUCUUGUGGCCAUUUUUAAAAUGAAUGAUCUUCGUAAGUAUUGAACCCACGGGGGGCGCAUCACCCCUGACUUUCCCCCAGGUCAGUCCAGCAAUGUCUGCCUCCACCCUCCCCUGUGUUUCCAGACCCAGAGAGUGAAGCAAAGCCAGAAUCAACCACCACACUUGACAAAUAGCCAUUACUGUGAUGAUGGAAUGUUGUCAGCGAGCAGCACAGAAGACGCAGAGAUAUUGGUGGACAGGUGGUGGAGAUAGGAAGAGAAUGUGGCCUGGAGAUUAACAAACAGAACACCAAUAAUCUUGUGACCUCCAUACACCCUUCCUAAUGUCAAUAAAGUUGUCUUAUAAUGGCCUCAAAAAAUGC